rnacentral:rRNA from 1 species
GACGGAAGUUUUCGGAUGGAAGACUGUAAUUCUUAGUGGCGGACGGGUGAGUAACGCGUGGGCAACCUGCCCUAUACAGGGGGAUAGCAGCUGGAAACGGCUGGUAAGACCGCAUAAGUCGGCGAGACCGCAUGGUUUUGCCGGGAAAUGAGCAAUCAGGUAUAGGAUGGGCCCGCGUCCGAUUAGCCAGUUGGCAGGGUAAAAGCCUACCAAAGCAACGAUCGGUAGCCGGACUGAGAGGUCGGACGGCCACAUUGGGACUGAGACACGGCCCAAACUCCUACGGGAGGCAGCAGUGGGGGAUAUUGCACAAUGGAGGAAACUCUGAUGCAGCGACGCCGCGUGAGUGAAGAAGUAUUUCGGUAUGUAAAGCUCUAUCAGCAGGGAAGAUGAUGACGGUACCUGACUAAGAAGCCCCGGCUAACUACGUGCCAGCAGCCGCGGUAAUACGUAGGGGGCAAGCGUUAUCCGGAUUUACUGGGUGUAAAGGGAGCGCAGGCGGUUUGGCAAGUUGAGAGUGGAAGCAGGGGGCUCAACCCCCUGACUGCUCCCAAAACUGUUAAACUUGAGUAUGGGAGAGGCAGGCGGAAUUCCUAGUGUAGCGGUGAAAUGCUUAGAUAUUAGGAAGAACACCGGUGGCGAAGGCGGCCUGCUGGACCAAAACUGACGCUGAGGCUCGAAAGCGUGGGUAGCAAACAGGAUUAGAUACCCUGGUAGUCCACGCUGUAAACGAUGAAUACUAGGUGCUGGGAGGCAUAAGCCUUUCGGUGCCGUCGCAAACGC